UACGUAGGGAGCUAGCGUUGUCCGGAAUCAUUGGGCGUAAAGCGCGCGUAGGCGGCCCGGUAAGUCCGCUGUGAAAGUCAAAGGCUCAACCUUUGAAUGUCAGCGGAUACUGCCGGGCUAGAGUCCGGAAGAGGCGAGUGGAACUCCUGGUGUAGCGGUGAAAUGCGCAGAUAUCGGGAAGAACACCCGUGGCGAAGGCGGCUCUCUGGGACGGUACUGACGCUGAGACGCGAAAGCGUGGGGAGCGAACAGG
rnacentral:rRNA from 1 species